GGAGGGGUGGGAGAGCGGUUGAAUCCGGCGGUCUUGAAAACCGUUAGGCCCGAAAGGGUCUCGGGGGUUCGAAUCCCCCCUCCUCCGCCA
rnacentral:tRNA from 1 species